rnacentral:piRNA from 1 species
GCCAAGGUGUCGUUUGAGAGCUGGGGCACA